rnacentral:rRNA from 1 species
UACGUAGGCGGAAAAUUAAGUCAGUAGUGAAAUCCUGCAGCUUAACUGUAGAACUGUUAUUGAUACUGGUUUUCUUGAAUAUAGUUGAGGUAGGCGGAAUGUGUAAUGUAGCGGUGAAAUGCUUAGAUAUUACACAGAACACCGAUUGCGAAGGCAGCUUACUAAGCUAUGAUUGACGCUGUGGUACGAAAGCGUGGGGAGCGAACAGGAUUAGAUACCCUGGUAGUCC